CUAUAAAUAUUUGCAUAAACCAGACUUAAAACAACGAUCCUCUUACUGGUUGGUGUCUUUUAGACCGGAGAGAUCAAAGAAAAACAUGAAGAGCCCUUCUACCAUUCUUCUUCUUCUUGUUGCUGUUCUUCUCUUGACAAAUGGAAAUGAGGUGAAUGCGCAACCAACCGGAAAAGUUUGCGCAAUAACUGAAGUCCAGCCCAACUGCAAUGAUAGUAGUUGCGUUGAUCUUUGUGUGGCGAAAUAUGGAGGACCAUCGGGUCAAGAUGCAAAUGGAUUUUGUCAACCACCUUCCACUUGUUUAUGUACUCACAAAUGCUAGACCUCUGGAUGGCAAUAUUCUCUGACUAAAUUAAAUAAAUUUGUGUCCUUCGUCCAAUGAAAAAUAAAGCAUAUAUAUAUAUUCUACCUAUAUGUAUUCUUCAAUAACUAAUAAUUAACAGCACUUCUCUUUUUCUUUACCCAA